rnacentral:lncRNA from 1 species
GCGCCACGACGAUCAAAACGGUAGCCGAAGAUAAAAGAUCCUCCAAAGACGACGAGGUCCCAGCUGACAUAACUGGCUCCAAGUAAAGCGAAUAGUCAGCAAAGGCGAAGAAAAGGAAGGGCGAGAGAAGCGUGAAUAAAAAGGAUGAAGGGUUCCAUGUUGUUACACAUGUAUUUGAAGUAACAAUGUACAAAAAUAUUGUAAUAUAU